rnacentral:rRNA from 1 species
UACGUAGGGUGCGAGCGUUGUCCGGAAUUAUUGGGCGUAAAGAGCUCGUAGGCGGCCUGUCGCGUCGGAUGUGAAAGCCCCGGGGCUUAACCCCGGGUCUGCAUUCGAUACGGGCAGGCUAGAGUUCGGUAGGGGAGAUCGGAAUUCCUGGUGUAGCGGUGAAAUGCGCAGAUAUCAGGAGGAACACCGGUGGCGAAGGCGGAUCUCUGGGCCGAUACUGACGCUGAGGAGCGAAAGCGUGGGGAGCGAACAGG